CUCACAGCCGGCGCGCACCUACCUACCUCCCAUGGCCGCCGCGCUCCAACCCCUUCCAACCACUGGCGCCAUGGUGGGAGCCGGUCGCCACCGAAUCCUGCGAGGCCUCCACCACCGGAUCCGGACGCCAUGGCCAUCGGUGCAGCCACAAGCCGACGGAUCCGGCUGCGACCCACCACCUCCUGCGCGUGGUGGCCGGAUGGGAAGGCCGACGAGCUCCAUGCCAUGCUGGGCUCCUCCAGUGCCACCACUUCCUUCUUCCCCUUCGGCCGUACCGCCUCCCGCUCUGCCUCCCCGCACUUUGUCGGCGAGCCGCCAAUCCUCCACGCGCGUUGCCGGUGCCCCGGCCUUUCUUCCCGCAACGCAUCCGACCUUUCUGCUCCCGCCUGCACGUCCUCCCCCCCCUCCACCCUCUCGCAGGCCACGGAUCCGUGGCCCUCAAUCCAUCCCCGGGGAGGAUCCAGGUGAGGUCGAGGGGCACCGUCGCAUCUCCUUUCCCUUCCCCCGGCGUCGUCGACCGUCCCCUCGCCUCGAUCUGCAACGACGCCGAUGACCGACAGUAGGGUGCGCCGCCCUUCCUCUCCCCUCGAAUUUUUGGGGCGCCGACGACACAACGCGGUAUCCGGUGGUCGGGCUCGGGGGUGGAGGCCGCCGCUGAUCCCCUGUUGGAUCUCUUUCCACCAAGACCCGGCGACCUCCCCUUCGAUCUGGUCUCCCGUCGACAACGCCUCCCCCACUCUUCUCCAUGGACGGCUGCGCACAGUCACCAACUCUAGCGCGCGGUUUCACCAGAAGGAGCCCGGGAGCGCCUCUCUCUCACCACCGUGUUCGGCUGGCGACGGCAUGAGGUUCACUAGCUCCUUGCAGUUCUUUUAAUAGGAAAAGGUGGUAGCUCCUGCUUGCAGUUCGCCAUGGUAGAUGGGUUGAUGUAGCCCACUUGAUGGAGUCUUGUGGUUCACUGCAUUCAACAAGGAAAAAGCAAAAGAGUGUAGUCUUGUGAUGCAGCCCAUUUGUUUCAUUUUUGUGUGUAUUUUGAAGAUGGGGUGCAGGAAGACGGUGAUUUUUGUGUGUAUUUUGCUCACGGUUGACAUUUUUUCCACUUUUCAGAUUUUGGCUGCCAUCCCAUGGGCGCACAGGUGCAAUGCUGUGGGGACUGGACAUGCAGUGCGCUGGCACCGGCUUGCAUUUCAUAGACAGAAAUGUGGAUUUAUUUUUGAAGUCCCUCAUCACUGUAAUUUGUGUGUGUUUGUAUUGUGGAUUAAAAAGAGGAACAUUGUAGUUCGUGCGCCCUGUCUCGUAGUCCAGAGAAGUAUAGAUUGCAACUCUAUUGAAAAUGUGCAUUGAAGACAACAACACAUUUUUUAA